ACAAAUCAGCACCGAUCAUUACUGUGUGCUUAAAGCAGUCAACAUUCCUCUGGGGAAGUAGGUCCAGCCAGCUGAGAUCACUGAGUAUCACACCUGGCUCACGGUGAGUGGAAUGUCAAUCUCAGCUAGAUUUAUCUCAACCCACUCGGUCACACUGGUUUGGCUGCUACGAUUUAAAAAGCAAGAACUUGCCAGUUAAAACUCCUAUAUUAGAAUGAAUUAAGAUGGAUUCUGUACCAUACAAGACUGAGAACCUGCAUGCAAGCAAAGAGUGGCUAGAUGGCUCAGUGGAUGGAGUACCGAGUCUGGAACCAAGAAGACCUAAGUUCAAAUCCAGCCUCAAACACUCGCUGUGUGAGCCUGGGCAAGUCAUUUAACUUCUAUUUCUCUUAGUUCAUUAGAGAAAGAAAUGGCAAGUCACUCCAUUUUCCUUAAGAAGAAAACUCCAUGGAAAGUACGGCCCAUAUUGUCAUAAAGAGUCGGAUAUGACCAAACAAUAAAAAUCUCUUUUGAGCUUCACAACAACCCUAUAAGGGUAGGUGUUUCAUGAUCUACUGUUUUUCAAGUCUUGCACAUUAUCCUGGACUCCAUAGUCCAGCCAAACUGAUUCUUUUCCUAUUCCUAACACAGGACAUUCUAUCUCUCACUUCUGUUAGUUUGGACAGUCUAUCUGUCCAUCUCAAUGCAUGGAUUAUACUUUCCCACCUUCAGUCCAUCAGUCAAACAAACAGUAUUUAUUAAGUACCUACUAUGUGCCAGGCAUUGUACUAAGUGCUGAGGAUGAAAAGAAAGGCAGGAAAAAAGACACUUACAGUCAAGUGUAGGAGACAACAUAUAAAUAACUAUGAACAAACAAGUUAAAUAUAGGAUAAAAGUGGACAGGAAAGAGAGAGAGGAAGGAGAAGAGGAGGGAAAGGUAAGGUAAGUGGAAAGGGCAUACUUGGUGGUGAAUAUGAUAAAGAGCCAGCAGAGUUGUUUGAAAUGGGAGUGGAAAAGAUCACACAAUCAGACAAUGUGACAAGUGAGUGAAUAAUAAACUGAAAUGGGGAGAGACAUGAGAUACUGAGGCCAACCAGAAGACUAUUGCAAUAGUCCAGAUAUGAGGUGAUAAUGGUCUAUACAAGGGUGGUGGUGGAGUUAGAGGAGAGAAGGGGAUAUAUAUUAAAAGAUGUCCAGAAGAUGGAAUCAAUAGGGCUUGCAAACUGAUUAGAUUUGGGAGAGGAGGAGGGAGGAAAGGAGGAAGGGAAGAGAGAGAGAGAAAGACAGACAGAGACAGAGAAACAGGGAAAGAAUGAGAGACAGAGAGAAAGACAGAGAAGCAAAGAGAGAGAGAAAGAGAGAGAGAGAGACAGACAAAGACAGGAAGAGGGAGACAGAGACAGAGGGAGACAGAGAGACAGAGAGAGAGACAGAGACAGAGGAGAUAAAGAGACAGAAAUAAUGAGAGACAGAGAUAGAGGGGGAGAGAGACAAAGAGACAGAGAGGGGGGAGGGAAGGAGGAAUGAAGGUAGGGAAGGAGAAGAGAGGGAAAGAAAAAUUGAAAAUAAUACCCAAGUUUUGGUAACUGGGAGAAUGGUGGCUUCCUCAAUAGUUAGAGGGAAUAUUAGGAGGAGAAAGAUGAGUUUAAUUCUCAUUAUGUUGAGACUAAAUUGUCUACAGGAUACCUAGCUUGAGAUGUCUAAGAGGCAGCUGGAGAUUGAGACUAGAAGUCAAGAAGUUAGGGAUGGAUAAAGUAUCUGAAAAUCACCUGUGUAGAGAUAACUGAAUCCAGAGCUUAGGCAAUACUGCUCAGUUGAUAAUGUUCUUCACCUUCUACUGAAAUUACUUUGUUUUUAUUUAUAUAUGUAUUUAUUUUUUCAUAUGCACAUUUUCCCCUCAAAUCCCUAAGAGAAUAUAAGCUUUCUGAGGGCUAACAGGACUUCAUCUUUGUCUUUGUAUCCCUGCAAUGGGAGCAAAUUGUAUACUACAAAGCCUGGCAAAUAGUAAAUGCUGGUUGAAUUGAAGUCAUUUAAUCCCUCUGAUCUUCAACUUACUUGUCUCAGGUUGAAAAAAAUUAAGAAUUAGAAAAAUAAAAGAAGCACAGCUGUGAAAUAUGAUCUAGUUUAUAGGUUCUUUGCAGAUAAACAGUAUGUUAGGCAUUUUUUUCUUCACAUUUGCAGCUCCCCCUUCCCCCACAUUCCCUAGCAUAGUACUUCCUUCUUCAUCUCAAAGGAUCAGUAAUUUUGUGAGUAUGAGCACUCCCUCCAAAUCAUAAGCCGUCUGUUUUAGAAGACAGUCUUCAUGAGUUGCUGUGGUAAUCUGUAAUGAUCCUUUGCCCUAUGGCUAACCUUCUGGUGAUGAGUCACUCCAAACCUAGCUAGCCUGGUCCUCAGAUGAUAGAUACACAGUCCAUCACUGAGCCCCUGCUCAAAGCCUUUUCAACUUGGAACAACUUGGAACAACCAGCCAGAGCUUGUGUUCUGCUGACAUAGUCUCGGCAAAUCCAAGAUCAGUAACCUCCAUGCCACAAGGAAAUAUCAAGUGAGGGUGUUACUGUUGGCAGAAAUAGGGCAUAAUAAGGCUUCAAUAAAAACUUGUUGAUGAACUGAUGAAAGGCAUUAGCAGUAAAGAAGUAGAAUUUAAGAGUGCUGGCCUUGAAGCCAGAAAGACUUGAGUUCAAAUCCUGCCUCUGAUACAGACUGGCUGUGUGACCCUGGAUAAGUCACUUAACCUUGGAGUCUUUUAAGCAACUCCCUUAGUCAAGGGUUCUCCUUUUAAAACACACACACACACACACACACACACACACACACACACACACAAA